UCCCUAGUGGCUCAGACGGUAAAGCAUCUGCCUGCAAUGUGGGAGACCUGGGUUCGAUCCCUGGGUCGGGAA
rnacentral:tRNA from 1 species